rnacentral:lncRNA from 1 species
CAAAGUACUGACAAUAAUGGUAUUUUUGGAUCAAACUAUAAACGGAGGGUACUUUUGUUCUUUUCGCAUAAUUUAAGGGCAUUUUUGAACCAAAGUAAUGAUGGUAAGGACAUUUUUGAGCCAAACUAUGAAUGCAAGACAUUUUUGUUCCUUUCACUUAGUUUAAGAGAAUUUUUUACCCUUUUCCCUCUUUUAUAUAAACUAGUC